CUUAUACAUGCAAGUCGAGCGGGGGGAGGUAGCUUGCUACCGGACCUAGCGGCGGACGGGUGAGUAAUGCUUAGGAAUCUGCCUAUUAGUGGGGGACAACAUCUCGAAAGGGAUGCUAAUACCGCAUACGUCCUACGGGAGAAAGCAGGGGAUCUUCGGACCUUGCGCUAAUAGAUGAGCCUAAGUCGGAUUAGCUAGUUGGUGGGGUAAAGGCCUACCAAGGCGACGAUCUGUAGCGGGUCUGAGAGGAUGAUCCGCCACACUGGGACUGAGACACGGCCCAGACUCCUACGGGAGGCAGCAGUGGGGAAUAUUGGACAAUGGGGGGAACCCUGAUCCAGCCAUGCCGCGUGUGUGAAGAAGGCCUUAUGGUUGUAAAGCACUUUAAGCGAGGAGGAGGCUACUCUAGUUAAUACCUAGGGAUAGUGGACGUUACUCGCAGAAUAAGCACCGGCUAACUCUGUGCCAGCAGCCGCGGUAAUACAGAGGGUGCGAGCGUUAAUCGGAUUUACUGGGCGUAAAGCGUGCGUAGGCGGCUUAUUAAGUCGGAUGUGAAAUCCCCGAGCUUAACUUGGGAAUUGCAUUCGAUACUGGUGAGCUAGAGUAUGGGAGAGGAUGGUAGAAUUCCAGGUGUAGCGGUGAAAUGCGUAGAGAUCUGGAGGAAUACCGAUGGCGAAGGCAGCCAUCUGGCCUAAUACUGACGCUGAGGUACGAAAGCAUGGGGA
rnacentral:rRNA from 2 species